CGGGGAUUACAGUGUGGGAGGUUCUGAGAGAAGCAUUGUGGGAGUGCGUAUGAUCUAAUUACGUCUUCAGGCGUUGUCAUGGGUUCCUUGCUCUGAACGCAUCUCUAUUUGCUUCUGAAUUUUCACUUUGAUUUGGUGGUUUUUUCCUAGUUACAUGUUACUAAUUACUUGUUGGUUUAGAUUUGUGGAGAAGGAUCUUACGAUGGCUUCGAGCCUUCGACUGAUCCCUGUCUGUGUUCGUGUUCCAAUCAGAAAGAGCGAGACAGACAGAGAGCGAGCGAGAGAGAGGGUUCGAUUAUAAUAGCGACGAGCGAGACAGACAGAGAGCGAGCGAGAGAGAGAGGGUUCGAUUAUAAUAGCGACGAGCGAGAGAGAGAGAGAGAGAGCGCAAACAUACAUGAAGAAUUCAGAGGUGUGGUGUUCGUGUUCCAACCUGAAAGGACGAUGAAGCGGUCAUAAUGGUGGGCUCAUGAGCGGAUCAAAAAGGUCUCUUGUGUUCCUACGGAUGAUGGUUUGUUUAUUCGACUCUGCUUUUUUCUUGUCAGUCGCCUGGCGUUCUAACUGUAACUAACAACUUCAUUCAAACUCAUUAAAAAGAACCAAAAAGGUAAGCUUAUGGGUUUGAAGAAUGAAGAAGAUUUAGAACCAAAAAAGGCAACAACAUCAAAACUGCAUAGGUGUCUUUGACUCAAUACGUCUUCCUUUCUCCUUCACUUUAAUUUGCCAAUCUUAAGUCAGCAACUUGCUUUUAAUCGCAGAUUCUGACCUGUGAAGAGAGCUAAGUGGAGUCAAUUUAGCAGGUUUGCUUUAAAAACUUGAGGCUAAGUAUAAGAUCGGAGAUAUGCUAUGGGGUUUGAAGAAUGAAGAAGUUUCAGAACCAAAAAGGACGAUGAAUCAUAUUAGCACUGAGAGGGGGCUUAUCUGUUGAAGAUGUUUAUUCAGCUCCUUCCUCAAAAUGAGCCCUUCACUCCAUAGCUCCAGCUUUUGCCUGCACCACAAAGAAGUACACCACAUCUGCCAGAAUUCAAGGUUUAAGAUUGGAUUUACUUUUUGAGUUUUUGGGACCUAUUUCAAGAUUUUCUUCAGUUCAGACCAAGAGAGUGUCCGAUUCUAGUGGUGACGAGAGAGUAAGCAGACCUGAACAAGUCAUAGGUGUGUGUUCGUGUUUUCCAACCAAGACGAUGAUUUAUUGACUCAAGAGUUUUUCAAGGAUGAAGUAGAUUCAGAACAAAAACGGUCGCCAGUGUUCUUACGCUAAAAUCGGUGAAAUGCUAUGGUUUGAAGGACGAAGAAGGUUCAGGGCAAAGCAAUCAAAUGAUGUUCUUCUCGGAGCUGUUGGAUUGUAUGGUUCGUGUGGCUCUCGAAGUAUUUGUCAAUUUAAGACCAAUAACAGUGUUACCACAAGUACAGUAUCUCUGAUAGGUAUGGAGG